rnacentral:rRNA from 1 species
AGCGAACGCUGGCGGCAGGCCUAACACAUGCAAGUCGAACGAAGCCUUCGGGCUUAGUGGCGGACGGGUGAGUAACACGUGGGAACGUACCUUUUGGUUCGGAACAACUCAGGGAAACUUGAGCUAAUACCGGAUGAGCCCUUAGGGGGAAAGAUUUAUCGCCGAAAGAGCGGCCCGCGUUAGAUUAGCGAGUUGGUGAGGUAAAGGCUCACCAAGGCAACGAUCUAUAGCUGGUCUGAGAGGAUGAUCAGCCACACUGGGACGGAGACACGGCCCAGACUCGUACGGGGGGCAGCAGUGGGGAAUCUUGCGCAAUGGGCGAAAGCCUGACGCAGCCAUGCCGCAUGAAUGAUGAAGGUCUUAGGAUUGUAAAAUUCUUUUACCAGGGACGAUAAUGACGGCACCUGGAGAAAAAGCCCCGGCUAACUUCGUGCCAGCCGCCGCAGUAAGAC